rnacentral:rRNA from 1 species
AGUGAACGCUGGCGGUAGGCCUAACACAUGCAAGUCGAACGGCAGCACAGAGGAGCUUGCUCCUUGGGUGGCGAGUGGCGGACGGGUGAGGAAUACAUCGGAAUCUACUCUGUCGUGGGGGAUAACGUAGGGAAACUUACGCUAAUACCGCAUACGACCUACGGGUGAAAGCAGGGGAUCUUCGGACCUUGCGCGAUUGAAUGAGCCGAUGUCGGAUUAGCUAGUUGGCGGGGUAAAGGCCCACCAAGGCGACGAUCCGUAGCUGGUCUGAGGGGAUGAUCAGCCACACUGGAACUGAGACACGGUCCAGACUCCUACGGGAGGCAGCAGUGGGGAAUAUUGGACAAUGGGCGCAAGCCUGAUCCAGCCAUACCGCGUGGGUGAAGAAGGCCUUCGGGUUGUAAAGCCCUUUUGUUGGGAAAGAAAUCCAUCUGGUUAAUACCCGGGUGGGAUGACGGUACCCAAAGAAUAAGCACCGGCUGACUUCGUGCCAGCAGCCGCAGUAA